CCUACGGGCGGCAGCAGUGAGGAAUAUUGGUCAAUGGACGAGAGUCUGAACCAGCCAAGUAGCGUGAAGGAUGACUGCCCUAUGGGUUGUAAACUUCUUUUAUAUGGGAAUAAAAUGUUCCACGUGUGGGAUUUUGUAUGUACCUUAUGAAUAAGGAUCGGCUAACUCCGUGCCAGCAGCCGCGGUAAUACGGAGGAUCCGAGCGUUAUCCGGAUUUAUUGGGUUUAAAGGGAGCGUAGGUGGGUUGUUAAGUCAGUUGUGAAAGUUUGCGGCUCAACCGUAAAAUUGCAGUUGAUACUGGCAGUCUUGAGUACAGUAGAGGUAGGCGGAAUUCGUGGUGUAGCGGUGAAAUGCUUAGAUAUCACGAAGAACUCCGAUUGCGAAGGCAGUUCACUGGACUGCAACUGACGCUGAGGCUCGAAAGUGUGGGUAUCAAACAGGAUUAGAUACCCUAGUAGUC
rnacentral:rRNA from 1 species